rnacentral:rRNA from 1 species
UCGCCGCGGUACUUCCCCCGUGCUAAGGUAGCAAACUCAUUAGUUUUUUACUUAAAAGCUGGAAUGAAGGGCCGAAUGAAAAAAAAACUGUCUCUAAUUAAUUAUUUUAGAAUUUUAUUUUUAAGUUAAAAAGCUUAAAUUUUAUUAAAAGACGAGAAGACCCUAUAGAGUUUAAUAAUUUUGUACUAUAAAAAAUUUAGAAUUAAUUUUUUUAUUUUUAUAUAAUUAUUUGAUUGGGGUGAUUAAAAAAUUUAAUAAACUUUUUUAUUUAUUUAUAUUAAUUAAUAAAUAGUUGAUCCAAAAAUUUUGAUUAUAAGAUAAAAUUACCUUAGGGAUCACAGCGUAAUUUUAUUUGAGAGUUCUA